rnacentral:rRNA from 1 species
UACGAAGGGGGCUAGCGUUGUUCGGAAUUACUGGGCGUAAAGCGCACGUAGGCGGAUCGAUAAGUAAGAGGUGAAAUCCCAGAGCUCAACUCUGGAACUGCCUUUUAAACUGUCGAUCUGGAGCAGAGUAGAGGUGAGUGGAAUUCCGAGUGUAGAGGUGAAAUUCGUAGAUAUUCGGAGGAACACCAGUGGCGAAGGCGGCUCACUGGACUCUUGCUGACGCUGAGGUGCGAAAGCGUGGGGAGCAAACAGG